rnacentral:rRNA from 1 species
GAGUUUGAUUCUGGCUCACGCGUACGAACGCUGGCGGCAGGCUUAACACAUGCAAGUCGAGCGCCCUGCUUGCAGGGAGCGGCAGACGGGUGAGUAACGCGUGGGAACGUGCCCUUCGGUACGGAAUAGCCCCGGGAAACUGGGUGUAAUACCGUAUACGACCUCCGGGUGAAAGAUUUAUCGCCGAAGGAUCGGCCCGCGUUAGAUUAGCUUGAUGGUGGGGUAAAGGCCUACCAUGGCGACGAUCUAUAGCUGGUUUGAGAGGACGACCAGCCACACUGGGACUGAGACACGGCCCAGACUCCUACGGGAGGCAGCAGUGGGGAAUAUUGGACAAUGGGCGCAAGCCUGAUCCAGCCAUGCCGCGUGGAUGAAGAAGGCCCUAGGGUUGUAAAAUCCUUUCGCUAGGGAAGAUAAUGACGGUACCUAGUAAAGAAGCCCCGGCUAAUUUCGUGCCAGCAGCCGCGGUAAUACGAAAGGGGCUAGCGUUGUUCGGAAUUACUGGGCGUAAAGCGCGCGUAGGCGGCCUGCUAAGUUAGAGGUGAAAUCCCGGAGCUCAACUUCGGAACUGCCUUUAAAACUAGUAAGCUAGAGGAUGUGAGAGGAGUGUGGAAUUCCGAGU